AACGAACGCUGGCGGCAUGCCUAACACAUGCAAGUCGAACGGAAACUUCGUGUCUAGGUGGGCACGGGUGCUUGACGCGUGGGAACCUGCCCUUAGGUUCGGUAUAACUCCCCGAGGGAGAUCCUAAUACCACAUAGUCUCUUUGGGCCAAAGAUUUAUCGCCUUUGGAUGGGGGCGUGUUGGUUUAGCUAGUUGGUAGUGUAAAAGCCUACCAAGGCGACGAUCCAUAGCUGGUGUGAGAGGAUGCUUCGCUACACUGGGACUGAGACACGGGCCAGAAGCCUACGGGAGGCAGCAGUAGAGAAUAUUGGACGCUGGGCGCAAGCCUGAUCCAGCAACGCCGCGUGAGAGAUGAAGCCCGUAGGGUUGCACAGCUCUUUUAGCCGGGAUGUUAAUGACGGUACCGGGAGAAUAAGCACCGGCUAACUACGUG
rnacentral:rRNA from 1 species